GGCUGAAAUUACGCCUUCAUGAAGCUGGAAUUGCUAGUAAUGGCAGGUCAGCAUACUGCCGUGAAUACGUUCCCGGGCCCUUGUACACACCGCCCGUCACACCAUGAGAGUUGGAAAUACCCGAAGCCUGUGAGCUAACUGUAAAGAGGCAGCAGUCGAAGGUAGAGCCAAUGAUUGGGGUGAAGUCGUAACAAGGUACC
rnacentral:rRNA from 1 species